UUGAAUUGUCCUAUGGAGGCGGAUGGAAUUCAAAACAAGCUCAACUUGGGUGUUUGAAAUUAAUGUGCUCGCAUCUGGAAAUUGAAAAUAUUGAUCUCAAAAUUCAUAUUCAGCAUUUUGUUGAAAUUCAUCUUGUUAAAAUGCUAUAUUUAGAUUUAGUCACAUUGCAUGUAUGAUUUUCGUUCAUGAUAUUACUGUGCGGAUUUCUUUCUUUGACCACACUGAAAUUGUUUAUUAACAUGUUCUUUAAUCCAAAAUUCAUGUGCACAAAUGCAGUAUAUAGUUUCUGAAAAAUGCAUAAUUAGUAAUUGCAAAUUCCAAAUUCAGCAUUCAUAGCAGUGAACCUCAAACGAAAGUAUAUGCAAAUGAGCUGUAGCGAAACUGAAACUAGGGAAAAUGAAAAGAAAUUUAGCCGAGGGUUCAAGAAGCACUAAAAUGGGGGAAUCUGGAGCUUCCUACGAUUCGGCAAAUGUUCAAUCUGCGAAGGCAUUGUGUUUAUAGUGUUAGAGAGGACUCGUUCUAGAGUUUUUACCCUCUCCGCUGGGAACCUUCGCUUUCAAAAAUACGGAGAAAAUUCAAAUCUAAAAAAAUACAAAUGUCAGAAAUCAGAUCCGAUAAUGAAGCAAAUCCGAACCCGAACAAUUCAGGCUCGGAGAUCCGGGUUCCGAAAUCGAUAUCCGAAAGCAAACUUGGCCGAAAACGCAUUGCUUUUUUUGCGCUUCGUCCAUAGGACCUUCGAUCAAUAUCUAAAUUCAGCACUCAGAUUAAUCUAAACAAAGACAGAUACUAAAUGGAAUUUUUUAACUGAACAUAUGAAUGAAUAGCUGUUAGGUUGAAGUAAGCAAAAGAGAAAUCUGCUCAGUGAAUACGAACCAUAGAAGAUAGAACCUCAUCUUACGGAGAUUAUUUUUGUUGAAAAAAACAUCACCGUAAUCCGAUAAUUUCUUCGUUCCUCUUCAUAGCAGCAGCAAGAUAUUCAAGUAAGAAGAGAAAAUAAAGAAUAUAGGUAUUGGAAAUAGACGAUGGCCGCUGCUAUUGCUGCCGGCAGAGCUACCGCCGCCAACAUAACCCUAGGGUUUUAACGUUUC
rnacentral:lncRNA from 1 species